rnacentral:rRNA from 1 species
AUUGAACGCUGGCGGCAUGCUUUACACAUGCAAGUCGAACGGUAACAGGCCGCAAGGUGCUGACGAGUGGCGAAAGGGUGAGUAAUGCAUCGGAACGUGCCCAGUCGUGGGGGAUAACGCAGCGAAAGCUGCGCUAAUACCGCAUACGAUCUAUGGAUGAAAGCGGGGGACCGUAAGGCCUCGCGCGAUUGGAGCGGCCGAUGUCAGAUUAGGUAGUUGGUGGGGUAAAGGCUCACCAAGCCGACGAUCUGUAGCUGGUCUGAGAGGACGACCAGCCACACUGGGACUGAGACACGGCCCAGACUCCUACGGGAGGCAGCAGUGGGGAAUUUUGGACAAUGGGCGCAAGCCUGAUCCAGCAAUGCCGCGUGCAGGAAGAAGGCCUUCGGGUUGUAAACUGCUUUUGUACGGAACGAAAAGGCUCUGGAUAAUACCUGGGGCUCAUGACGGUACCGUAAGAAUAAGCACCGGCUAACUACGUGCCAGCCGCCGCAGUAACAC